AGGGAUGUACAGAAAUCACGGAUACAGUCCUGAUCUUCAUUGGUGCCUCUGGAUGUGCACUGAAAAGAAUGCAAGAAGAGUCUACCAAUAUGGGGUGAAAUGAGCCAAAAAAGAGAGAUGCUGUUUUAAGGAAAACAGGAUGCAAUUUCAUCAGUGUUUCUAGAACAUUGGAUCAUACAAAGCUGUGAAUAAGAAACUUCGCUUCCCAGUUGGCAACCUAUUGAU